AAUACAUGCAAGUCGAGAGGACCAACGAGGAGCUUGCUCCUCAGAGGUCAGCGGCGGACGGGUGAGUAACACGUGGGCAACCUGCCUGUAAGACUGGGAUAACUCCGGGAAACCGGGGCUAAUACCGGAUAACAUCUUCCUCUGCAUAGAGGAGGAUUGAAAGAUGGCUUCUGGCUAUCACUUACAGAUGGGCCCGCGGCGCAUUAGCUAGUUGGUGAGGUAAGGGCUCACCAAGGCGACGAUGCGUAGCCGACCUGAGAGGGUGAUCGGCCACACUGGGACUGAGACACGGCCCAGACUCCUACGGGAGGCAGCAGUAGGGAAUCUUCGGCAAUGGACGAGAGUCUGACCGAGCAACGCCGCGUGAGUGAGGAAGGCCUUCGGGUCGUAAAGCUCUGUUGUUAGGGAAGAACAAGUACCGUUCGAACAGGGCGGUACCUUGACGGUACCUAACCAGAAAGCCACGGCUAACUACGUGCCAGCAGCCGCGGUAAUACGUAGGUGGCAAGCGUUGUCCGGAAUUAUUGGGCGUAAAGCACGCGCAGGCGGUCUCUUAAGUCUGAUGUGAAAGCCCACGGCUCAACCGUGGAGGGUCAUUGGAAACUGGGGGACUUGAGUACUGGAGAGGAGAGUGGAAUUCCAUGUGUAGCGGUGAAAUGCGUAGAUAUAUGGAGGAACACCAGUGGCGAAGGCGGCUCUCUGGCCAGUAACUGACGCUGAGGCGCGAAAGCGUGGGGAGCAAACAGGAUUAGAUACCCUGGUAGUCCACGCCGUAAACGAUGAGUGCUAGGUGUUGGGGGGUACCACCCUCAGUGCUGACGUUAACACAUUAAGCACUCCGCCUGGGGAGUACGACCGCAAGGUUGAAACUCAAAGGAAUUGACGG
rnacentral:rRNA from 1 species